AAUGAACGUUGGCGGCGUGGAUUAGGCAUGCAAGUCGAGCGAGAACCCGCAAGGGGGACAGCGGCAAACGGGGUAGUAACGGGUAGGCAACGUACCCUCGGGUCGGGGAUAGCCACGGGAAACUGUGGGUAAUACCCGAUAAUCUCUGCGGCGGUAAGUACUGCAGAGCAAAGGUGUGAUUCCACCGGAGGAGCGGCCUGCUUCGUAUUAGCUUGUUGGUGAGGUAACGGCUCACCAAGGCGACGAUGCGUAGGGGGUGUGAGAGCAUGACCCCCACCACUGGGACUGAGAUACUGCCCAGACACCUACGGGUGGCUGCAGUCGAGAAUCUUCGGCAAUGGGCGCAAGCCUGACCGAGCGACGCCGCGUGUGGGAUGAAGGCCCUUGGGUUGUAAACCACUGUCAGAGGGGAUGAAAUGCACGAGAGCUAUCUCUUGUGUUUGACAUAGCCUCAGAGGAAGCACGGGCUAAGUUCGUGCCAGCCGCCGCCGUAACAC
rnacentral:rRNA from 1 species